AUUCACCGUGAGCAUCCUCGAAGUUCACCUCCACACAGUUUGGUUCAUUCGCGACUAGUUAUUACGCAGGAACUAUGUGACGGUGCAUACUUGGUGUUGUCAAAGCAGAGGGCAAUGGGAUGGAUAAUUCCUUUAUAUUCACUAUUUCCUAAGUUCGUUGUUAUGCAUUGGGAGAAGUAAACUUCUUGAUUAUGUGUAAAGAAAACUAGGAAGCCUUGGCGCAGGGUCACCUCCUUUUUGUAAGGUCGAAGGAGGAAGUUCAUGUUCCCGUAAAAAACGAGAGAGGAUAAUGUCACUCUGUACGCUUAAUUUAUUUUAGGCAGUUGGUGCAUUUGCUUAUUACCGCCAAGUUCAUUCGGCAAAAUAACGUGGAAUGGUGCUCCGGUAUUACUCUCCGGGGAUUUCAACACUACACUUAAGGAACAACACUUGGAGCUCACUUAAGAUGGCGUUUGUGGUACCUUUGAAGCCAUGGUCCUGUCUCAUUGAGCGUGCCUUCCACACACGGGAGUUCACAAAGCCAAGCGUGGGCGUCCACUAGCACCAAUGCUUCCGGGUUGAUACGAGCACCUCACCAACAACAUGGCUGCCAUCCCAAGCUCUUGGCCUUACACAAUGGGCGGCCCCUAGACAA